GUGCCAGCAGCCGCGGUAAUACGUAGGGUGCAGGCGUUAAUCGGAAUUACUGGGCGUAAAGCGUGCGCAGGCGGUUUGUUAAGACAGGUGUGAAAUCCCCGGGCUUAACCUGGGAACUGCGCUUGUUACUGGCAGACUUGAGUGUGGCAGAGGGGGGUGGAAUUCCAGGUGUAGCAGUGAAAUGCGUAGAGAUCUGGAGGAACACCGAUGGCGAAGGCAGCCCCCUGGGUUAACACUGACGCUCAUGCACGAAAGCGUGGGGAGCAAACAGGAUUAGAAACCCUAGUAGUCC
rnacentral:rRNA from 1 species